AGGCGGUUUGUCACGUCUGCUGUGAAAUCCCGAGGCUCAACCUCGGGCUUGCAGUGGGUACGGGCAGACUAGAGUGCGGUAGGGGAGAUUGGAAUUCCUGGUGUAGCGGUGGAAUGCGCAGAUAUCAGGAGGAACACCGAUGGCGAAGGCAGAUCUCUGGGCCGUAACUGACGCUGAGGAGCGAAAGCAUGGGGAGCAAACAGGCUUAGAUACCCUGGUAGUCCAUGCCGUAAACGUUGGGAACUAGAUGUGGGGACCAUUCCACGGUCUCCGUGUCGUAGCUAACGCAUUAAGUUCCCCGCCUGGGGAGUACGGCCGCAAGGCUAAAACUCAAAGGAAUUGACGGGGGCCCGCACAAGCGGCGGAGCAUGCGGAUUAAUUCGAUGCAACGCGAAGAACCUUAUCAAGGCUUGACAUAUACGAGAACGCACUGGAGACAGUGAACUCUUUGGACACUCGUAUACAGGUGGUGCAUGGUUGUCGUCAGCUCGUGUCGUGAGAUGUUGGGUUAAGUCCCGCAACGAGCGCAACCCUCGUCCUAUGUUGCCAGCACGUAAUGGUGGGAACUCAUGGGAUACUGCCGGGGUCAACUCGGAGGAAGGUGGGGAUGGGGUCAAAUCAUCAUGCCCCUUAUGUCUUGGGCUUCACGCAUGCUACAAUGGCCGGUACAAUGGGCAGCGAUACCGUAAGGUGGAGCGAAUCCCAAAAAGCCGGUCUCAGUUCGGAUUGAGGUCUGCAACUCGACCUCAUGAAGUCGGAGUCGCUAG
rnacentral:rRNA from 1 species